rnacentral:tRNA from 3 species
UCCUCGACCUUGGUGACCGGGACGCCGGCGGCGGCGAUCCGGCCGGCCGUCGACCCGGUGGAGACGAGUUCGACGCCCGCCUCGUGGAGCC